rnacentral:tRNA from 1 species
AGAAAUACUAGUUAAAAUAUAUACAUAACAAUGCUUUGUCAAAGCUUAGUCGCCACAGGUGUAUUUCU